CCGGAGUUUGGUGCGAGGUUUGUGUACCCGUUUGUCUGUUUGGGAAGUCUUUGUUUUAAUUGAGUCGUGAGUGGUGUAGGUAAUCCCUGAAAGCGUUGGCCGCUGUCCUGGGAUGCGGUGUGUCACUUGUGUGCUGUGGCUCGACAUUCCCGCCAAAUAGUUUUGAAAGUUUGCGGACACUUUAACCUCGGAUCCACUCGUUUUCGAUGUUGCAGCCUCAGUCUGCAUGGGUCAUCGGUGAGUGCGUUUCUUAUCUCUUCAGGCACAUCAACUCCGCACUUGUUCAGGAGGUCCAGUUGGUGUUCUUUCACCUGUUGAACAAGUUGCUGCAUUUCCUUGAGUUGGCAUUCCACAAGUUCUUUCCGGAACUUGCGGCUAAUGUCUGAGUUUCUGGCAUUCUCGUCAUGUAAUUUUAUGUUGGUGUAGCCAAGGAUCGAGUAAAUUAAUUUCUCCCUUGUUGUUUACCUGCAACAAUAAACUAUCAAUCAAUCAAUCUUUCAAACAGACGUACGAGGUUAAAAGAAACGGCUGUGUUUUCAUUAUUCAGCUUCUGCUGUUUUUUUUCUAUUUGCCUUAUCAACCCUUUUUAUAGCGUUUAAAGUCCCGAGGAGCCUUCACCACCCCACCUUCCCCACGGCCUGACCACUUGCUGGACUCGUGUAUGCUUUUACGUGUGCAUGUGGUAGUCUUCGGCUUUGGGUAGAUUAUUGAAAACACACAGAAGAAUGUCUUAAUGUCUACAAUUCCAUCCUGAGAGGCUCCGGCCCAAGGCAAGGCGGCGCCGCACCGUUAAUAAUGCACGGGGCGGCGGGGCGGGGUGCGCCGCGCGGCCGUCACCUGUCACGUGAUGUAAACAAACCUGGCGGGGCUCCAGCGCGCCAGUUUCAUUACUUUGUGUGUGAUAAUUACAUGCGGAGGGCGUGUAGGGUGUCGUGCAGGUGGCCGGGGAGGCGCAACAAGGGCUUACUAUGACUCUCAAAGUGUGCAACCUGCAAGGUGUGACCGAUGCUCUGUUCCGGGAGUUUAUGUCCCAGCCGGGGGAGAGGCAGUGGUGCAGCGAGAUCCUGCACUCCAUCACCAAGGGAGAACGGAUAGACACCAAAGACCUGCUGAAGCUGCCCUCUGAUGCUGGUCCCAAGGGCUCUCCCCGGGGCUCUCCCGUCAACUCCCCGCGGAACCAUGCCCACCUCUCCCCUCUCCUGCUCCCUCCCUCUCCCCGCUCCCCUCUCUCUCCCCUCCUGACCAACACCCCGCCUGCAGUCGUACAGCCCCACACACCGCGUAUACACCACGCUGCCGCUCUCACCGCCUCCAUACCAGCUACAUCACCACCUUUUUCAUCCUCCACCUUCUCCGUUGCCAUCUCAUCAAUCACGCGUUCCUUCUCUGCAACACUGGCCAAUGAGGCGCGCCCGACCAUGACCACCGCACCCGUUGUCUCCUCCAGGAAGCUUGCCCGACGGAGGGUGAGUGUUGCAGCCUCUUUUGUUGCUCUUCUUCACCCUGCUCCUCCAGAAUUUUUCCAAGUUGUGCUAAUUCUAAAUCUAUCUACCUGCCAAAAGGAUUACCUGCUACUAUGGGUUUCAGAGGCCAUGGUGGUGUGUUUUCAGGAAGCGUCGGGUAAUGAAGAUAAUCUGGCAGAGCAUGUUUCAGACCUUGCCCUAAUUUAUUCAAUACGUCACGCUAGCCACUACAUUUGGGCUGAGUCUACCUUUCCAUCACUCUUACAAAUGCUUUGAUUAUUAUUCACAUCUUGGUAUUGUAACAUACUGAAUAAAUUAGGGCAAGGUCUGAAACGCUGUGCCAGAUUAUUAUCCUUACCCGAUGCACUGUUAACCCCUUGACUGCGAUUUUCUACGAGAUGUCACCAAGCUACAGGAAUGGAACAAAUAGUGGCUGCUACAAUUCAGUGAAGAAAAUGUAGUCACGCACCUUGGGAGGGGAUAUCCAGCAUACCAGUACCACAUGGGAAACACUCCACUAUCCACCACAGAGGCAGAAAAAGACCUGGGAGUAUAUGUUACCAGGCUACCAGAGAAGGACAAAUCCGUGCCAAUCGCAGCGGACGGGUUAAAAAUGAUAUAACACAGCCUCUGAAACCCAUAGUAGUGUCUAAAGGCUCCAUACCUGCUUGCAUAUGUCAGCCUUCUUUUCCUUAUGGCAGUUCUUACUUCUGCUUCCUCUUCAGCAGCCUCUAGUCUGUGCAGGGAGUUUAAUUCUCUGCAGGUGUAUAUUUUGUAUUUGAACUUAGUAUCCAUUAUGCUCUUCUUACCGGGUGAAAAUAUCUACCCUCUCCAUAGUGUGAAAAGUAAGUAUGUAUCACAUUUUGCAUCUCUCUUGAAACAGAGAUUGGAUGUAAAUGUUUCAGUCACCAGAGAAUGACUGAAACUAAGCACUCCCGGGAAAUUUAUAGUGUGGUUAUGUAUGUUGCAGAUGUUGUAUAUUUGUUAAAUCAUGUGUCUUUUUCUAUCAUUGAAUCUCCAUGCAUAAUGACCUCUCUGACUUCUCCUUCCUAAUGAGUGGUUUUAUGUUGUUUUAUAUUAUUCUUGGUGGUUAAAUUAGUGUCGCAGUGUUUGCUCAUGUACAUCUGUUUUCUGUGGGUCAACGUGUUUGCCGAUGUUUGCAUCUUGUGUGUUCAGGGCAUCACAUUGCUCAAGGUGGAAGAGUUGAGUUGUGAUAGAAAUUUCUGAGCCAUUGUUGCAUAAUUGAUGACCUGCUGGCGAGGCGAUUUCGUUGCUCUUGGUGGAAUGGUGUUAUCGUGAUGUAAAAGCUCUAAUCUCGUGUUCUUUUUAUGGCUAAUGGCAGAUAGUUGGAGCAGAACAUAAAGGGAUAUAAUGCUUUGUUUUAAGAUGGCAUGCUGCUCGGGUGGACGUUUCUCACACUUCUUCGGACCCAUAACUAAAAAAGGGGGUGUGGAGAAGCUGUAUCUCUCUGUUUAAUAUUUUGUGCUCAUCUGACUCAGUGAAGGGUUGUCAGCAUGUCAUUUUUUUAUUGCCUCCUACAUGUGUUUGGUGACCUGUCUUAUUAUGUGAGGUGCAUAAGGGAUGUAGGUAUAUUUUUUUCUCCAGUUUCCACAUCCAAGGAAAAACAAGAUGAAAGUUGCCCGAGAAAAGUGACUCGGUACACCAGUUACAAGGUCGCUUUUCCCUUACAACUUGAUUCUUGUUCCUUUUUUUUUUUUUGUGUGUGUGUGUGUGUGUAUACACCUAUAGCGCCGGUAGGCUUUUCUUGAGGGCCUGGAUGGUAGUUGGCCCCAGCCUGUCAUGGCGUAGGCAAGUGUUUAUAGUGGCGCCAUCUUCUCUUGCUCUUCUCUUACUGUAAUGUGUAGCCUGUCUUUUUUAUUGCAAUCUAGAAAAAAAUGGCAUCGUCCCUCACACCCUGUCUCUUUCGGAUGCCUCAUAUCUAAUGCAGUGAAUCUCGCUGGAAUCUGAAUUGAAAAAACAAGUUACUUUCACAACCGAACUUAAUAAAUAUAAUAUCCUACUGAUGCCUCAUAAAACAGCUUGCCUUUCAACGCGCCGCUGCCUCAUCACCAUCAUCUGGGCGUUACACUUGUUUGUGCAGCAAGAGUGUUUUGAUGCAUUUGCAAAUCUAUUAAUAAGAGUCAAAGGAUCGUAUACAAGACUGACUGGAGGGUGCACGUGCCUCUUACCUCUGUGGCUCUCAUAAAGUAGUUUAUCUUAUCGACGUGGCACUGAUAGCAUUAUGUGAUUGUUGUUUGUCCAACGAUGCUCCAAUACAAGUGAAAACGUAUAUCAAAGGAUUGUAUUCAAGACUGACUGGAGGGUAGUACUCGUGUCUCAUACCUCUGGCUUUCUCAUGAAGCAGCUUAUGUACUUUGUCGAUGUGGCAGUGAUGAUAUUAUGUGAUUGUCGUCUGUCCAAUACCAGCGUAAAUAUGUCAGGAUCGUAUACAAGACUGACUGGAGGGUACAUGUGUCCCUUACAUUCAGGGUCUCAUAAAGCAGUUUACUUUGUCGAUGUGGCAGUAAUAAUAUCAUGUGAUUGUUGCUUGUCCAGCUGUGCUCCAAUACCAGUGUAAACAUAUUAUACCCUCGGGGGUACAAGAACAAUAUCGGCCGGAGGGUACAUACAAACAGAGCCUUGCCUCAGUUCCCAUCAUGGACUGGGUCAGGGAGGUUCCUCAGAAGGGCAGGGUAGGCGUGUGACAGUCCUAAGCCGAUCCAGCAUGUUGUUCUCCCAUUACUCUUUGCCCAGAAAAUGUUCUCAACGGUAGAAGACAGUUUUAUGGCCUGACGGUUGCAUGUUGCAGGAACUUCAUCCUGUUAAUUGGCUCCUGCCUAUGCAUCAAAGUCUCCUCCUUCAGUUUGUAGACUUAGCCCUCGAGUUAAGCGUGGGUCGCUGGGCGAGGCUGCCUGACCCCUGGCCUCGUCGGCGCAGUGGGAGGGUUGUCUCGUAAAUAGCGGGUGCAGGUCUUGUUUAGAGCUAGAAAUAUCAUGUAGUGUUUUGAGAGUGAUCGCCUCCACUUACAGCUGAGGAGAGGCAGGCGAGGUGCUGAGGGUAGGGACGGCGUCCUGAUACACGGCAACACACACAAGCACACACUGAAGAAAAUUUCGUCACUGUGAUCCGUAUCUUAACUUUCUUAUCACGCUUUUUAUCGUGUUCGUUUUCUUUGCGAUAAGAACAGAUAAAGGCGGGGCGUGGGUGUGCACUGUUACAUGUCCUGCGUUAGGUGUGUUGAAGGACGCGUUGCCUUGGUGUGUGUGUGUGUGUGUGUGUGUAGCGAACACAAGCCCGGGUGGCUCUGAAACCAGCCCAACGAGGCGUUCCCAGGGAGGGCCAUCCCCUGCCCCCUCCGCCCCAGCCCGGCGGCGGCCGCCGGGGCCUCACCCUCGCCGCCUCAGUCAGUCAGUGGCGCACCCGCACCUUGAACGGACGGACACGCUACCGAGCCCGGCGCAGUCCACGCUUCCAACACACCGCCAGGACGCGGGAUACCUCUACCUCGUCACUGUGGAACGUCCAAAGGAUACCCUGCAUGAAGCUUCGGAGAUAAGAGAUAAAAGAUGAAAAAAAAGGAGAGAUAGUAUGAGAAAAUGACAGGAAAUGGAGAAAGAGACGAAGAGAAAGAAUGAAAAUGAUGUGAUGUUAAAAAAAGAAAGUGUUAUCUCUCUUUGGCGCUUUCUCGUUUUCCUUCCGUUCGUUCCCUGCCAUCACUUACGAGUCCUCUUGUCCUCCUCGUCAUCGUUCUCCUCAUCCUCCCUUUUCAAGACACAUCCCUGAACGACGAUACAGUAAGUGCUGAUCUCACAUCCUCCUCUGUGUGUGUGUGUGUGUGUGUGUGUGUGUGUGUGUGUCAGUCUGAAGUAUGCUGAGUUGACUGUGUGUGUGUGUGUGUGUGUGUGUGUGUGUGUGUGUGUGAAGUAUGCUGAGUUGAGUUGACUGUGUGUGUGUGUGUGUGUGUGUGUGUGUGUGUGUGUGUGUGUGUGUGUGAAGUAUGCUGAGUUGAGUUGACUGUGUGUGUGUGUGUGUGUGUGUGUGUGUGUGUGGUGUGUUAAGCAACAAUCGCGUGUGACCUUGAUGAGUGUGUUCGCUCCUCCAUGUGUUCGCUGUGAGUGGCGGAAGACGCCUUAUUAGGAUGUGCCGGAGUGUGUAUGGGAACCUUGGUGAUGGGGGGGAGGGGGGGUGAAAAUUGCGAAGGAAAAAGAGAUGAUGGUGUUUCUCUCCCUUUAUAACCAGUAAGUAAUUUUUUUUCUUAUCUCACUACUUCUGUGAAUCUGGUAAAGCGUGUGGCUGUGCGUUUUCUUUGUUUUCUUUUUCUACUAUUGCGUAGGAGAGUAUUUUCCUUCCCUUCAUUGAUCAGUAGGUUAUUUUUUUUUUCAUCUUCUAUGAAUCUGGAAAAGCGUGUGGCUGCGUUUUCUUUAUAAUAUCGCAAUUUUAUUUUUUAUUUUUUUUUGUCUUGUUUUCUACUAAUGCUAAGGAGAGACGAUUUUCCUUCCUUUCAUCGAUCAGUAGGUUAUUUUUUUCCAUCUUAUCUCCCUUUUAUGAAUCUGGAAGUGUGACAGCGUUUUCUUUAAUCU